CAACAAUAACAACAACAACAAUGGAGGCUGGGCCGGAAACAACAACAACAAUAAUAACAAUAACGGCAAUAACGGCGGCAACAACAACAAUAACAACAACAACAACGGCCGCAAGCUUUUGGAGGACAUCUCAAACACCAAGGGUGAGCCCUGGCACCCAUGCAUACGCCUAGUUGUGCCUUUUCCUUCAUAUCUGCGCCUGCCAUGUCACCUUCUCCUUCCAUGAUGCACUGCCCUUGUGAGGCUUUUUAGGCUGAGUCUCUGGCUGAUCUGACCUGGGCUUCUUAUGGUUGCACAGGCCGCUCUCUGACCGAGUGGCGGGAUGGCGUUUGGUACGAGGAUAACGAUGGCAACAACGAGCGCAACAGAAACAACGAACGCACCAGAAACAACAACA
rnacentral:lncRNA from 1 species